UUUAUAUUUGGGCCGCCAAAAAUCUACUGGCCCAUGGGCUCAGUACUUACGAACAUUAGCAGCCAUCCCUGGUUGUGUUGUGUGCUGAUUUGUGCUGAGUGGAAGAUAGGACCCUAAAAGUUUGAAUUAUGUAAUGAAAUGUCAAAACUUCAAAUCUUUAAGUCAUAGUUAUGAAAAGGCUAAAUUAUUCAUUAAAUUAUGAAAUAAAAAAAGUCCAAAUUUUUUAGUUAAGUGUUUUUGUUUAUUUUUUUCUGAAAUUACUGAGUGAACAUAAUAAAAAUUACUUUUUCACUGACUAGCCCCUUCGCCUCCCUGAUACAGGCUUCCAUAGCACGGUGUGUAAAAUAGUUGUAGAUGUAUAUUUGUAUAAAUAAUGUGAACUUUACACUCGAUUUUCUAAUGGAGUCUGCUCAGACGUCAACAAGCACUUUUGUCGAUCAAAUCCAUUGUCUUACCAUGGUGAACAUGAAGCCUCUUGAUAUAUAUAUAUAUAUUUUUAUUUUUUUCCUGUCAUAAGUCGCUUGCUCUGAAUCAUGAAAAGUCGCACUUUGAGGACUAAAAGCUUGCUUUGUAAUUUUACAGAUUUUCCGAAGAAUCACAAAGGGGUUGUUGAAUGAUGCAGUCAUAAAAGAAUGAGUGUGAUGAUUAAACUACCAUUGUGAAAAUCAGCUCAUUCAUAAGGAAAAUGUUUUGUUUUGCAUUGUGCUUUAUCUUAAAAAGACUAUUUCCUUUCUUCCUUUAACAAUGUGUUGUUUUACAUGUGAUAUUUUCUUGAUUGAAGUUUAAUUCUACAUAUAGAUGAAGAUAUUCUGUUGAAAAGCACUAUUUUAGUGGGAUUUAAAAAAAAAACCUAAAUAAAGAUGUAUAUCUAAGUA